rnacentral:rRNA from 1 species
GUGUCAGCAGCCGCGGUAAUACGAAGGGGGCUAGCGUUGCUCGGAAUUACUGGGCGUAAAGGGCGCGUAGGCGGACAGUUAAGUUGGGGGUGAAAGCCCGGGGCUCAACCUCGGAACUGCCUUCAAUACUGGCUGUCUUGAGUACGGGAGAGGUGUGUGGAACUCCGAGUGUAGAGGUGAAAUUCGUAGAUAUUCGGAAGAACACCAGUGGCGAAGGCGACACACUGGCCCGUUACUGACGCUGAGGCGCGAAAGCGUGGGGAGCAAACAGGAUUAGAAACCCGUGUAGUCC